rnacentral:rRNA from 1 species
AGUGAACGCUGGCGGUAGGCCUAACACAUGCAAGUCGAACGGCAGCACAGUAAGAGCUUGCUCUUACGGGUGGCGAGUGGCGGACGGGUGAGGAAUACAUCGGAAUCUACUUUUUCGUGGGGGAUAACGUAGGGAAACUUACGCUAAUACCGCAUACGACCUACGGGUGAAAGCAGGGGAUCUUCGGACCUUGCGCGAUUGAAUGAGCCGAUGUCGGAUUAGCUAGUUGGCGGGGUAAAGGCCCACCAAGGCGACGAUCCGUAGCUGGUCUGAGAGGAUGAUCAGCCACACUGGAACUGAGACACGGUCCAGACUCCUACGGGAGGCAGCAGUGGGGAAUAUUGGACAAUGGGCGCAAGCCUGAUCCAGCUAUACCGCGUGGGUGAAGAAGGCCUUCGGGUUGUAAAGCCCUUUUGUUGGGAAAGAAAAGCAGCAGGUUAAUACCCCGCUGUUCUGACGGUACCCAAAGAAUAAGCACCGGCUAACUUCGCG